rnacentral:lncRNA from 1 species
CCCGGCCAUCCCCACUUCCAGGCUGGACUCCUCAGAGACACUCUCUGAAGUGGAUUCUAAGUUCCGAGUCUGCCGAGCCUGGGCAGUACUACACCGCGCGGUACAAGUGCAGCCUGGCGCACUGGUUCCACACCCGGCUCCUCGCCAGCAAGCCCAUUCCCAGGAUACUACUUUCUACAGUCAUACAACACUAAUAUUACAAAGCUUACAACUAAUGAAGAGAAACAGGCAGAAACAUAAGAAGAAAAAUAAUUGGGAUCACAUAUAGGGUUGUCAUUAAUGUUGGUUGGAUUCUGGGGAACUGCAUGAUUUCACUUGGCUUUCUUCUGUGAGUAUUAUCUACUUUUAUUUCAUUUGGAAU